rnacentral:rRNA from 1 species
GAUUAAUGCUGGCGGCGUGCCUAACACAUGCAAGUCGAGCGGUAACAGGGAUAGUUUACUAUCUGCUGACGAGCGGCGGACGGCUGAGUAACGCGUGGGAACAUACCCCAAAGUGAGGGAUAACUGCCCGAAAGGGUGGCUAAUACCGCAUAUGAUCUUCGGAUUAAAGGAUUUAUCCGCUUUGGGAAUGGCCUGCGUACGAUUAGCUAGUUGGUGGGGUAAAGGCCUACCAAGGCAACGAUCUGUAGCUGGUCUGAGAGGAUGAUCAGCCACACUGGGACUGAGACACGGCCCAGACUCCUACGGGAGGCAGCAGUGGGGAAUUUUGGACAAUGGGGGCAACCCUGAUCCAGCCAUUCCGCGUGAGUGAAGAAGGCCUUCGGGUUGUAAAGCUCUUUCGGCAGGAACGAAACGGCGAGCUCUAACAUAGCUUGCUAAUGACGGUACCUGAAGAAGAAGCACCGGCUAACUGCGUGCCAGCAGCCGCCGCCG